rnacentral:rRNA from 1 species
CCUACGGGGUGCAGCAGUGGGGAAUAUUGGGCAAUGGGCGCAAGCCUGACCCAGCAACGCCGCGUGAGGGAAGAAGGCUUUCGGGUUGUAAACUUCUUUUCUCAGGGACGAAAAAAGUGACGGGACCUGAGGAAUAAGCCACGGCGAACUACGGGCAAGCAGCCGCGGUAAGACGUAGGUGGCAGGAGUUAGCCGGAUUUAUUGGGUGUAAAGGGCGAGUAGGCGGGAGCGCAAGUCAGAUGGGAAAACUCAGGGCUCAACCCUGAGCCUGCAUUUGAAACUGUGUUUCUUGAGUGCUGGGGAGGCAAUCGGAAUUCCGGGUGUAGCGGUGAAAUGCGUAGAUAUACGGAGGAACACCAGUGGCGAAGGCGGAUUGCUGGACAGUAACUGACGCUGAGGCGCGAAAGCGUGGGGAGCAAACAGGAUUAGAUACCCUAGUAGUC